GGUGAGGCGCAGGCGUGAGCUGCCCAGGGGCAGGAUGAGCGGAGGGUGCGAGGAAAAACUUUCAAAGAUAUCCCCUAAUUCUGACUCAACGCAUCUAAGAAAUGGAGCAUAGAAAACUCUUUCUAGCAAGUUCGGAGUCAGAAGCAUUCAGCAUCCAUGUUCAGUCACUCUUGACACCGACUUCUGCGGCUGCCAGUGGCCCGUCAUGGUGUCUAAGUCAUCUCACGGGCUGGAGAUGACUCGGGGUCACAGAGAGGCUGAGUACACAGAGCCGGGAUAGAGAUUCAAAAGUCAAAGUCAUACAAAGCCGACCAAGAGUCACCUUGAGCAGGGAGGUGCGGGGCACACAUAGCAGGUUCACAGCAAUGGAAAGUUUCCGGAAGAACUCAGUGGCAAUGUCACCCAGCCCGGCCCCCUGAAGCCAAUCCAACACAAGAUCCAAGUUGGUUCUGAUUUGGACGGCUCGAGACCAUUGAUAGAAAGGUCGGCCUUGACCUGUGUAGGAAGAAAUGAGAGGCGUUGAAUGAAGCUACUUCCCAGGCAAAGCCACCCAACGCUGAAGCCUGAAGCCUGGCUUAUGUCUGCCUGGAUUAGGUCUGGAUAGCUCCUGGCUCCUCCCAACACAACCCUCACCUCGUUCCAUCAGUGAGUUGAGAAGGGAUGCAUUGGAGAAGAAGAACAAAUAGCCAAAAGUCUGGGACACGAGGUCGGGAUGCAGCUCACACUGACUGGUCAGUUCUAGAGCUGCCUGGAACACACCCAGAGUAGGCCUGAGCCCAGGCGGCAUGGCCUCCAGCUCUGCGCCAGGCCCUGGCAGCUCUGCUCCAGCUGUGAAAGGGUUACUGUCCAGGAGAGCUGGCAGUGUUGAAUAAAGAGUCUGGGGGAGGAAACAGGCAACAACCAGAGAGUGACAAUCAAUAAAGACAAUGGGGAAUUCCAUCAAGGGCUUCUGGGAAAUGUAGUCCAUUCUACACCAUUCCCAGGUGGCUCCCUGAUCAAUCCCCCAUUUCCUCGGUGAAUUUCUAGCAGGUAUUAGGCUCCCUGGAAGAAUCUGUCCUGAGAAAUGUUUUUAGUAAAGUUUCUUAGGUAUUCUGAGAGCAUCUCUUGUGCAUUAUGUAAUCUGUAGUUCUCACAGAGAGGUAGCUCACGUAGGACAGGCCUCUGAACAAAAAAAAGGACCUUCUUCUUCGGUCAAGGAAACGUUUGAGCAGAAUUUCCAAAGGAAAUUAAAAGAAUGGAGAGUCCAGAAGUAGGAGUUGGGUGGCAGCCAGCCAAGGGAAAUUCGAGCAAGCCAAGGACAGGAAACGAAGGCGAUGACAGAAAAAACGUCAGGGUCUACUUGUCAAGACCACACAAGAAGUAAACCCUUAGAGGAAAGGGUUUCACAAGCAGGGCCACUCCCGGGUCAUUCACUUGGUAUGUCCCUCUUAUUUUACAGAUAAGAGAAUGCAUUUACCAAAACCAAAACCCAACCUGCAAAUAGGAAGGUCAAAGGUGGUAGAGGGGAAACCAAGCCCCACAAGAAUACUCCAGUGAAAAAAAGAAAAGGACCAAGGAUCAGAAAAGGGAAGUGAAGUCAGAUGCAGGAAGUGGUAUCAGCAAACACACAAAACUCAGCAGUCAACUUCACCAGUGUAAGCUUU
rnacentral:lncRNA from 1 species